UCCGGACGCUCAGCCGACAGUCAAUCACACCACUGUCUUAUUGGGUUUGCCGUCUCAGUAGAACAGAACGUGAGGACAGUCUUCGGCCAAGUGCCUCUGGUCCAAUCGCUGCUGUCGGACAGCAAGCUCGCUGUCCUCCGGCAGAAAACUGCGCUGUACUGACGUUAAGAAAUUGAUAGUCUGACGGCAAUGCAGUGUCGUUACGCAAUUGUAACACUCCACCACACUCUGUUAAACAACUGUGUCAGAUCUAUCACUGGAGCCAUCGAGUGAUGGAUCUUCUUUGCGUCCUUUCCUGCAGAUUGCUUUAUCUGACGCUGAUAUCAUGCGUAGGAGCAGUUGCGUGAUUAACAUGAAAGCCGUAUAACUGAAGGCGUGAAAUGUAAAGUAACAACCCGUUUUAGUGCGAUGCACAGUUAUGGUAACAUCAUGUUUCGAGAGACAUUGAAUUUUUGGUGCCUUGUGACAACUUUGAAACUAAUUCUUGAGCUGCACGAAGGGUUUCUUUGCCUUUGCCCGCCCCCGCCCCCAUUGUUCCUAUUAACCUUAUUUUUGUAUUAAUUUUCGUUCAAAUACAAUUUUAAAACUACCCUAUCAUGGAGCAGAACCUUUCUUGUAAGUCUGUAGUUUCUCAGCUGGCCAAUUUAGUCCCUGCUUUUAUAGAACCAGAAGAUUAAUUAUCACUUUGGACCCAAUUCUGGACCUAUUAAAAGUGAUAUAAAAUAUGCAUACAAACAAAACUGUUUACACCAUGAAAGACACUAAUGUCAAACGCGUUUCGACCUCAAGAGGUCUUCAUCAGUGGCAAAAAAACAAGUUAAUUCAUAUAAUACAAAACAAAAGAUUGUGGUUUUUAACAGAGUACAGAGGUAAGUUCUUUACAAAACCAUAUUUAGUAACACCUCACUGGAUGUUGGUUGCACAGGAGCUGGUGUAUUGUAUUGGGCACGUAGCUAUUAGUCACUGGUCUGAAGGCAGUUGUUGGUCUACGGUGAGCCCACGCUUUGUGGAAGUUCUCAGGCACAGACGACGCAACCACGGCUCGUUGCAGACCAACAAAGGCCAUCAGACCAGUGGACUAAUAGCUAAGUGUCCAAUGUAAUACACCAGCUCCUGUGCAACCAACAUCCAGUGAGGUGUUACUUAAAUAUGGUUUCUAAACCGUCCCCCGGGAGGCUCGACUUCACGCUGGACAUGCAUCGCGCCGAGCAGCUGAUGGUGAGGAUAAAGGCGGCCAAGCGGAGGCGCUGCUGGUGCCGGGUGGUGACGUCACUCCUCGGUCUCGUGUUCUUCCUCAUGUCUGUCAUGGUGGUCAGUAUGCUACUUACCCGGGGCAAGAGGGUGUUCGGCCCCAUCUGAUGUGAACUACGCUACCGGUACACGGCACUUUUAGCAGUUUCGUCAUUUUACAUGGGAAAUAGAAAUACUUUCCCCAGUUCUCUUUAGUUGAAUGUUAUUGUCCGGUAUUUGCAGUGUAAUCAGGUUUCGCCCGAGGAAGUAAGAAAGACGACGGACAGCAAGAAGCUGUAGGUCGCAGGACUGAUUUAGGCAGGCGUGAGGAGUACAAGGCGAGGUUGGUGUCGUGAUUUCUGUUUCUGUGUCAUUAACACGUGGCUCUAAGCCGCUUUCUUGAGGCAGAAAAUUGCGGCCUCAGAACAUACUCAGAAACUGUAGCUGCAGAUGUAAAGUACCGAAAACUGACUUCGCCGUGUUCUGGCCGGUAGAGAGUUGUGGCUGACAUUUUAAAAUGUUUUAUGUAGUUAUGAAAAGGUAAGUAUUUAUCGAUGUACCAGAUAUUUAUGUAAAUCUCUCAUUGAGUAUUUUACGAGUCAUAAAAGAAAAUUAAUUCAUGAAAUAACUGCGUUCUUGGUGGCAGCUCCUUCUAGUGUGAAGCAACAGGGGAUUUUGCUUCACACGACAACGAACAGAGCAGUUCGAGUGGCCCAGUACUUGGCAAGAGGUAGACGGCAUUGUUACUUCGUGCCAGACGUCACGUUUCAAGUUGCAGAGCUGUUCAUUAUUGCGUCACACACAAAGCGAUCCUAGCUACAAGGUUUUGUUAAGAUAAAUAAAAUGUACAUCCAAUGUUACAGUGUGCGUGCAACUCGACCCCAAAGGCAAACUUUUUCUGGAAGGUGUUAUUAUUUAUUAAUUUAUUAUAAACAGUUCAUUCUGCAUUGUGAGUUGUCAAGAAUGGAACAGCACAUAACAAUUCCUGUUCGCACUGGGUCUUGAAGCUGACUACUCUCAGACCCAUAGCCUCAAAUACUGUAAUGAGGGAAAUUGAUCGGCCAGUCAUCAAAUUUUGCAUGACGGUACAUUCAGGAUUCUUUUUCCACAGUCCAGGAAGCAGACAGCAACGAGUGCUUCUCGCUGCAGGGAACACUGUUAAAACCACGUCGGCCUUCGUAGGGAAGCCAAUAAAUACAUCAUUGAGUAGUAGCAACAAAUAAUCGUAGUUUUUGUCCCGUAAAAUAGCCAUCUUAAAGAACAUUCGAAAUUAAUAUUUCAUGAAACAUUUGAGUCGUUCGUAUUUUUUGACGCAUGGGGCGUGCAAGUGAAAACACAUUCUUAAUUUCGGCACUAGAUGGAGCGUCACGCCCCACAGCUAGGCUGAAUGCGGUGACAAAAAGAUAGAGCGGUGCCUCGACUGGGAAUCGAUCCCCAGUCGUCCAGCUCGUAGCGUACUUUAAAUUUAUAAUUCACGGGCUGUACUGCAUCGACAGUUCAGAACAGCUCUCAAUUGUGCGAUCAUUCAUGUGCAAAUAACAUAUUUUUAUUUUGCUUCAGGAGUGUACUUCUGGAUAGAUUAAAAUUUCGAAUUUGUGAUUCAAAACGAAAUUCGUUUCUGUGCUGGUGCUAAUAUUGAAACUAGAAGGUGGAGAGAACCCUGAGUUUCCACGGAAUUUGGUUUGGCAAUGACGAAUGAACAAAGAAUAUGUCAGUAGACUUUCGAUGUGAGCGACGACCCUUUGCGGUAUGACAGUUAUACUUUGAGCCGCAUUUCUGUGUGUACGUGUUUGUCGCCGAUUCAUUACCCAAGCCUGAUAAUUUCAACAACUUUUGUUUAGCUGCUAUGUGCUGUUUCACUCAGCGCGCGUGGUUACGAAGUCAUUCACAAUGAGAAAGUUGCACGAGUGAAUGGAGAACACAACUCGCAGUGUUUUAUUUAAUGUACUGGAAUGUGUGAAAGAAUUGUAAACAAGUAAAUUAUAACAAAAUUUA